UAUAGGACACAUGGGAUAGGGACAUAAGUGCCCCUUCUGUACCACCAAGAUGCUUUUUCUAGCAAGCUGAACUCAAACCAGAGAAGGGAUAGAGGGUUAUUGGUUCCCAGAACUGAGAAGAAAGGCUUCAUAUCCAGGUUUCCAGAAUCCGAAAGAACAAAUCACUAAUGGCAGUGUCACUGGACAAACAGAAGAGAGAUCAUUGGCUGAUAGAACACCACCUAGACAAUUCACCUUUCUAGUGGAAAAGAUGGGACUUUCACAAUAUACUCAUUGUUCAGCUGGAAACCCCACGAAGUUGUAACCUGAGCCCCUUACCCUGAGGGCACUCAAUGACCAUCUCCAUCCAGGGGUGUCCGUGGACUCCAGUGGAGAGUUAGCUUCCAGGGAGGCUGCUGAAUAACAACACUCACCCCAGGCUGACUUCAGGACUCACCCAGAGGUGAAACUAUCUUCCUACCUAAUGGCACUCGGCAUAUGAAGCCUGUCAGGAGAACAUCAUAAAUCGUGGAGAUGGGAAGCAGGAGCUGCAGCAAGAGCCACGCGAACCCUUUGUACUUAGGCGAACGAGUUAUUUAACACAUCAGGGAAGUGCAUUUAAUAAAUGAAGUCAGUGACUUGAGCGUGUCCUAUUCGAUCUAUACAGAGGUGGCUGAACUUUCUUUAAAAAGUCACUUUUAUGCUGGAUGCUUUUCUUAUGAAAUUUUCUACA